UUGGAGGUUUUUCUAUCCUUUCCACUGAAGUCUAAUAACAAGCUGAGACUAAUCAGCUGAUUUGGGUCAGAACGAACCAGUUUCUGCCAGCCCGCUUCAAGCACAACUGUACCAUGUUAGCAGUGUAGGAAAUUUGCUAUAACAAUAUAAGUGGCUUGAUCAAUUAUUCCAUUAAUGAUUACAAUAGGAGUAAUUUUCUCCCUUUUUUGUUUCCAGAGGCCACUGUUUCUUCUUAAAGCUUUCAGAUAGUGAAGGUCAGAAAGUGGGCAACAGAAUCACUGUUUCCUAGUUGCAUGAGAACGUGCUAAGUCACUUCAGUCGUGUCUGACUCUGUACAGCCCCAUGGACUGUAGUCUGCCAGGCUUCUCUGUCCAUGGGAUUCUCCAGCCAAGAAUACUGGGAAAAGGAACGAUUCCAGCCAGGCUUUGGCGCACGAAGCGUGGCAUGGUUUAAUAGAAGUCGGGUGACUGAGACAUCUUGAUGCGAUUUCUGAGAAAGCCAGACGGUUUAUCACCUUUAAUAAGCGGGAAACCUUUAAUGAGUGGGAAGCAAAGUUGCCUGCAGGGUCAGCCACAGGCAGGUGGAUUUAUACCUGUGCCUGGGUUUGUUCCGUUUUUUUAAAGAAGGGCAUUCACAUGAAAGUUGCCUUUUGGAACAGAGAGAAUACAAAGAUGCCAAAACGCUGCUUUCCGGAUAAAUGCAUCAGUUUGCAAAAACUCCCAGGGUUUCCUGGAGGGGCCACCCACAGAGGAAGCACCAUCUGGUUGUCAUGCUGUCACGUCAGGGGAGAGCACUCCUUGGGCACAGGGCAAAACAGAACGUUCCUCAGAACUGGAUGGAGACACGUAGUAAGGACUGAAGCCAGGAGGCAGCAGACCACCCCAGGCCCGGGAAAACACUGCGCUGAGUAAGGUCAUAGACUCUAGGUACAUCCACACUUCUCUUGGGACACCUUAGCAAUUUUGAAACAGACUUAACAUAUAAAUCAGAAAAAUAUGCAUCUCUAGAGAGAUUGUUGAAUGUUUUCAGGACAUGAGGAGAAUCAAUUUGUUUAAAGAAUAAUAAACAUC